CAACCCUACUGUUAGUUGCCAUCAUUCAGUUGGGCACUCUAGCGAGACUGCCGGUAAUAAACCGGAGGAAGGUGGGAUGACGUCAAAUCAUCAUGCCCCUUAUGACCUGGGCUACACACGUGCUACAAUGGUUGGUACAACGAGUUGCGAGUCGGUGACGGCGAGCUAAUCUCUUAAAGCCAAUCUCAGUUCGGAUUGUAGGCUGCAACUCGCCUACAUGAAGUCGGAAUCGCUAGUAAUCGCCGAUCAGCACGCCGCGGUGAAUACGUUCCCGGGCCUU
rnacentral:rRNA from 1 species